GACGAACGCUGGCGGCGUGCUUAACACAUGCAAGUCGAACGGUGAAAGCGGAGCUUGCUCCGCUGGAUCAGUGGCGAACGGGUGAGUAACACGUGGGCAACCUGCCCCUGACCUCGGGAUAACUCCUCGAAAGAGGUGCUAAUACCGGAUACGAAUCCUGCAGGCAUCUGCGGGAUUGGAAAGUUUUUCGGUCAGGGAUGGGCCCGCGGCCUAUCAGCUUGUUGGUGAGGUAGUGGCUCACCAAGGCGACGACGGGUAGCCGGCCUGAGAGGGUGACCGGCCACACUGGGACUGAGAUACGGCCCAGACUCCUACGGGAGGCAGCAGUGGGGAAUAUUGCACAAUGGGCGCAAGCCUGAUGCAGCGACGCCGCGUGAGGGAUGACGGCCUUCGGGUUGUAAACCGCUUUCAGCAAGGAAGAAGCCGCAAGGUGACGGUACCUGCAGAAGAAGCACCGGCUAACUACGUGCCAGCAGCCGCCGUAA
rnacentral:rRNA from 1 species